GGUUUAGGCUUUAUUUCCAGUCAAGGGGAAAUAACUACUACUACUACUAAGGCAGAGCCCAAAAGGGCAGCAAGUCGAGAACUGCUCCUUUGGUUCUAAAGCUUGCCUGCAAAAAUAGAAAAAUGGGAAAGAGAGUGGGCAGAGUAUGAAGAGAAGAUUAAUGGAAGGAGAAGGGCCAAUUCUAUGGGAUAUUUAGAAUACAAUAAUUAGUUAAUGUGGCUCAAGAAUAGAUCCAUAGAUCAAUGGAAAGGAAUAUAUUUCCUAGAAGCAAACUUUAAAACUUAACAUAUGAUAAAGCUAGCCUGGGUAACAGAGCAAGACCUUGUCUCAAAAAUCCUCUAGGGCCCAGACAGAGGAAGCUCAGAAUCCUUCUGCCUCUCUCAUGGCUUCUACAGUCUAAGGCACUCAAGAAGAAAGCUUCUGCAGAUCAACAUUUUCAUGGAAGACGAAUUCACAGGCAAAACAUACAGAAUAAGAAGCUCCAACAUACGUCUAAUAGGAGUUUCAGAGUGAGAUUGUCAAGAGAAUGGCAGAAGAACUGUUCAAAGAUAUAAUAGCUGAGCAUUUUCAAGAAAGGAAAAAAAAAGGUAUUUAAAAGGCCUGUGGGUGCUGAGUAGGAUUUGAAAAUCCACAGGGCAUAUCACAAUGAAACUG
rnacentral:lncRNA from 1 species